AUUUAUUGAAAAUAAGGAAAAGACUUUCUCCAGGUAGUGUAUUAGAGCAGAGCAGAAUGCAGGGGUUACUGUGUUGAACAAAAGGCACACAUCAGAGAGACAGUUGCAAACUCAGAAUACUGGGUUAUGGGCAAAACUAACUGGUCCACAAGAGAAAAUGAGAGACUCGAUUUGGCUGCCAGGCACACCUGGGCCUAGGCAAGAACACAAGAGGUUUCUGGGGGUGGGGAGGAAAUAGGUCUCGCUGAAGGUGACAGAUCCCUUGGGGGGCGGCCAGCUGUCUGGAUCACUGUCCAGGGACUGUGGCCAGCCCAGAUACCUCCGAGGUGAGUCCAGAUCACUAGGAGCAGCAGUCUGUCGGUGGGAUGCGAUGGAUGGCGAUGGCUGUGGCAGCGCAGGUCUGUGGGCAGAAUGAUGUAGUCGUCUGGAAGUCUGGUGGGGAGGAGAGGGCUUGGCAGCGGCGGCAGUGGGUGGUCUGUCCAGUGUGUAACAGGAGCCCAGCUUGCAGCUGGAGCGCAGGACAGCGUCCAAAUGUACAUGGGAGGGGCUGGCUGGCUGGAAGGAGAGGGCGGCGGCUCGCUCCUGCUGCCGCCCCUGGGCCUCACUCUGGAGCGGGCUGCCUCCGCCCUCUCGUGCCAGCCCAGCCCCUCCCAUGCACAUUUGGACGCUGUCCUGCGCUCCAGUUGCACAAAGCUGAG
rnacentral:lncRNA from 1 species